GUGCUCACUUUGGCAGCACAUGUACUAAAAUUGGAACGAAACAGAGAAGAUUAGCAGGGCCCCUGCACAAGGAUGACACGCAAAUUCAUGAAGUGUUCCAUAUUUUU
ensembl:snRNA U6 U6 spliceosomal RNA